rnacentral:rRNA from 1 species
CCUACGGGGUGCAGCAGUGGGGGAUAUUGCACAAUGGGGGAAACCCUGAUGCAGUGACGCCGCGUGGGUGAAGAAGCGCCUCGGCGCGUAAAGCCCUGUCAGCAGGGAAGAAAAUGACGGUACCUGAAGAAGAAGCCCCGGCUAACUACGUGCCAGCAGCCGCGGUAAUACGUAGGGGGCAAGCGGUAUCCGGAUUUACUGGGUGUAAAGGGGGCGCAGACGGCGAUGCAAGCCAGGAGUGAAAGCCCGGGGCCCAACCCCGGGACUGCUCUUGGAACUGCGUGGCUAGAGUGCAGGAGGGGCAGGCGGAAUUCCUGGUGUAGCGGUGAAAUGCGUAGAUAUCAGGAGGAACACCGGUGGCGAAGGCGGCCUGCUGGACUGCAACUGACGUUGAGGCCCGAAAGCGUGGGGAGCAAACAGGAUUAGAUACCCCGGUAGUC